GGCUGGUCUGAGUGUAGUUGUGUUCACAAUCAAUUGAUCAUAGCCAGUUACAGAUUUCUUUGUUCCUUCUCCAGUCCCAUUGCCUCACUUGGCUCACCUAAG
ensembl:misc_RNA Y_RNA Y RNA